rnacentral:tRNA from 1 species
GCACGGGUGGCAGAGCGGUCAAUUGCUCGAGACUGUAAAUCUCGCGCCUUCGGGCUACGCAGGUUCGAAUCCUGCCCCGUGCACCA